rnacentral:misc_RNA from 1 species
AAAUGCGAUAAGUAAUGUGAAUUGUAGAAUUCAGUGAAUCAUCGAAUCUUUGAACGCACCUUGCGCUCCUUGGUAUUCCUUGGAGCAUGCCUGUUUGAGUAUCAUGAAAUCUUCAAAGUAAAUCUUUUGUUAACUCAAUUGGUUUCUACUUUGGUAUUGGAGGUCUUUGCAGCUUCACACCUGCUCCUCUUUGUUCAUUAGCUGGAUCUCAGUGUUAUGCUUGGUUCCACUCGGCGUGAUAAGUUAUCUAUCGCUGAGGACACUGUAAAAGGUGGCCAAGGUAAAUGCAGAUGAACCGCUUCUAAUAGUCCAUUGACUUGGACAAUACUUUUAUGAUCUGAUCUCAAAUCAGGUAGGACUACCCGCUGAACUUAAGC